rnacentral:tRNA from 1 species
GGGCGGGUGGCGGAACUGGUAGACGCGCGGGACUCAAAAUCCCGUGUCCGCAAGGAUAUGAGGGUUCGAGUCCCUCCCCGCCCACCA